rnacentral:rRNA from 1 species
UACGAAGGGGGCUAGCGUUGCUCGGAAUGACUGGGCGUAAAGGGUGCGUAGGAGGGCAGGUAAGUCAGCGGUGAAAUCCUAGAGCUUAACUCUAGAACUGCCAUUGAUACUAUCUGUCUUGAAUAUUGUGGAGGUGAGCGGAAUAUGUCAUGUAGCGGUGAAAUGCUUAGAUAUGACAUAGAACACCAAUUGCGAAGGCAGCUCGCUACACAUAUAUUGACUCUGAGGCACGAAAGCGUGGGGAUCAAACAGG